rnacentral:rRNA from 1 species
AUUGAACGCUGGCGGCAGGCCUAACACAUGCAAGUAGAACGAGUUGCGAACGGGUGAGUAACGCGUGGUAACCUGCCUCAUAGCGGGGGAUAACUAUUGGAAACGAUAGCUAAUACCGCAUACCAUCAGAUGUGCCCAGAUGGGGUUAGCUAGUUGGUGGGGUAACGGCUCACCAAGGCGACGAUCCCUAGCUGGUCUGAGAGGAUGACCAGCCACACUGGAACUGAGACACGGUCCAGACUCCUACGGGAGGAAGCAGUGGGGAAUAUUGCACAAUGGGCGCAAGCCUGAUGCAGCCAUGCCGCGUGGAUGAAGAAGGCCUUCGGGUUGUAAAGUACUUUCAGCGGGGAGGCGUUACCCGCAGAAGAAGCACCGGCUAACUCCGUGCCAGCAGCCGCGGUAAUUC